CCUACGGGGGGCAGCAGUGAGGAAUAUUGGUCAAUGGGCGGAAGCCUGAACCAGCCAAGUCGCGUGAGGGAUUAAGGCCCUGCGGGUCGUAAACCUCUUUUGCCGGGGAGCAGAGGUCCGGACGUGUACGGGCCGGGAGAGUGCCCGGAGAAAAAGCAUCGGCUAACUCCGUGCCAGCAGCCGCGGUAAUACGGAGGAUGCGCGCGUUAUCCGGAGUUGUUGGGGUUAAAGGGUGCGUAGGCGGGCAUUUAAGCCGGCGGUCAAAUGUCGGGGCUCAACCCCGGCCUGCCGUCGGAACUGGGUGCCUUGAGUGGGCGAGAAGUAUGCGGAAUGCGUGGUGUAGCGGUGAAAUGCAUAGAUAUCACGCAGAACCCCGAUUGCGAAGGCAGCAUACCGGCGCCCUACUGACGCUGAGGCACGAAAGUGCGGGUAUCGAACAGGAUUAGAUACCCCUGUAGUC
rnacentral:rRNA from 1 species